GAGUUUCACUCUAUCCCCAGUGCAUGGGCAGUACAUAAACAUCUGACGCUCCAACUGACUGUCACUUUUAGCUUACUUCUCUGGAUGCUUUGACGGUUCCAGUGUUUCCA